UACGUAGGGGGCAAGCGUUGUCCGGAUUUAUUGGGCGUAAAGAGCGUGUAGGCGGCCAUGUAGGUCCGUUGUGAAAACUCGAGGCUCAACCUCGAGACGCCGAUGGAAACCAUGUGGCUAGAGUCCGGAAGAGGAGAGUGGAAUUCCUGGUGUAGCGGUGAAAUGCGCAGAUAUCAGGAAGAACACCCGUGGCUAAGGCGGCUCUCUAGUACGGUACUGACGCUGAGGAGCGAAAGCGUGGGGAGCAAACAGG
rnacentral:rRNA from 1 species